UACGUAGGGUGCGAGCGUUAAUCGGAAUUACUGGGCGUAAAGCGUGCGCAGGCGGUUUGUUAAGACAGAUGUGAAAUCCCCGGGCUUAACCUGGGAACUGCAUUUGUGACUGGCAAGCUAGAGUAUGGCAGAGGGGGGGUAGAAUUCCACGUGUAGCAGUGAAAUGCGUAGAGAUGUGGAGGAAUACCGAUGGCGAAGGCAGCCCCCUGGGCCAUACUGACGCUCAUGCACGAAAGCGUGGGGAGCAAACAGG
rnacentral:rRNA from 1 species